GACGAACGCUGGCGGCGUGCUUAACACAUGCAAGUCGAACGGAAAGGCCCGGCUUUUGUGGGGUGCUCGAGUGGCGAACGGGUGAGUAACACGUGAGUAACCUGCCCUUGACUUUGGGAUAACUUCAGGAAACUGGGGCUAAUACCGGAUAGGAGCUCCUGCUGCAUGGUGUGGGUUGGAAAGUUUCGGCGGUUGGGGAUGGACUCGCGGCUUAUCAGCUUGUUGGUGGGGUAGUGGCUUACCAAGGCUUUGACGGGUAGCCGGCCUGAGAGGGAGACCGGCCACAUUGGGACUGAGAUACGGCCCAGACUCCUACGGGAGGCAGCAGUGGGGAAUAUUGCACAAUGGGCGGAAGCCUGAUGCAGCAACGCCGCGUGCGGGAUGACGGCCUUCGGGUUGUAAACCGCUUUCGCCUGUGACGAAGCGUGAGUGACGGUAAUGGGUAAAGAAGCACCGGCUAACUACGUG
rnacentral:rRNA from 1 species